GCAAAGUCAAUUGUUGAUGUAUUCAAUUUUUAUGUACACAAUGAGAACAGUUGAGGUAUUUGAAUAUGUGAUAGGACCAAACUUCAGUUCCUCUUUGCCAAAGUCUUGUUAAGUCCUUUCACAAUCUUCCAGAACCAAAUCAAGUUCAUCACAGCAAGUACCAAUGGCACAACACAUACCAAGAAAAUCCCAAAUGAAGAUACCUCCUUAACCUGAUCGUAGUGGAUGUAGAAGUGGUAGAACACGUAAAUGAAUAAAAAAAUUCUGGCAACCAGCCAAACAAGCACCAUCAUGAAACCAUUUAUGAGGUAUGCUUUCGACUUUUUCAAUCCAGCUACAUCAAGAUACCAUCUCAAGUUGAUUCCCGGGGUAGUUGCCUCAGAAAGUAAAACCAGGAACACAUAAAACUGAGCCUCACCAGUCAACAUAGCAUAUGACAGUGCCACCAAAGAGAGAAGGUGAUGAACCAGAUAUUCCGUUCCACCUAAAGAAGGAUAAAACCAAAGGAUCAUAGCAAGAUCAGUGAGAAAAUAUCCCAAAGAAACCCCCAAGAUAGAG
rnacentral:misc_RNA from 1 species